UACAGAGGGUGCGAGCGUUAAUCGGAAUUACUGGGCGUAAAGCGUGCGUAGACGGUAGCGUAAGUCGGGUGUGAAAGCCCCGGGCUCAACCUGGGAAUUGCAUUCGAGACUGCUCUGCUAGGGUGCGGAAGAGGGAAGCGGAAUUUCCGGUGUAGCGGUGAGAUGCGUAGAUAUCGGAAGGAACACCAGUGGCGAAAGCGGCUUCCUGGUCCAGCACCGACGUUCAGGCACGAAAGCGUGGGGAGCAAACAGG
rnacentral:rRNA from 1 species